rnacentral:rRNA from 1 species
CAAGUCUGGUGCCAGCAGCCGCGGUAAUUCCAGCUCCAAUAGCGUAUAUUAAAAUUGUUGCAGUUAAAAAGCUCGUAGUUGAAUUUCUGCUGCAUUGCUUCUUCUCCUAUACGAGUUGAGCCUUGUGGCUUAUCUGGGUUCGCUUGCGUUCCCGGUGUUUUACUUUGAGAAAAUUAGAGUGCUCAAAGCAGGCUUUUGCCUUGAAUAGUUUAGCAUGGAAUAAUAAAGUAGGACUUUGGUUCUAUUUUGUUGGUUUUAGGUACCAAAGUAAUGGUUAAUAGGAACAGUUGGGGGCAUUCGUAUUUAACUGUCAGAGGUGAAAUUCUUAGAUUUGUUAAAGACGAACUACUGCGAAAGCAUUUGCCAAGGAUGUUUUCAUUAAUCAAGAACGAAAGUUAGGGGAUCGAAGACGAUCAGAUACCGUCGUAGUCCUAACCAUAAAC